UGAUGACGAGACGCUAAGGCGUUGAAGCAGUGUAUGUCAGACUUCCAAGAAAAGCUCGCAAUGUCACAAAUAAGAAAUGCCUGUACCAUAACCGACACAGGUGGGUAGGUAGAGUAUACUAAGGGGCGCGAGAUAACUCUCUCUAAGGAACUCGGCAAAAUGACUCCGUAACUUCGGGAGAAGGAGUGCCUUAUUUAUAAGGUUGCAAUAACAAGAUCCAAGCAACUGUUUAUCAAAAACACAGGUCUCCGCUAAGUCGUAAGACGAUGUAUGGGGGCUGACGCCUGCCCAGUGCCAGAAGGUUAAAGAAGUUGGUUAGUGUAUGCGAAGCUGAUGACUGAAGCCCUGGUGAACGGCGGCCGUAACAAUAACGGUCCUAAGGUAGCGAAAUUCCUUGUCGGGUAAGUUCCGACCCGCACGAAAGGCGUAAUGAUUUGGAUACUGUCUCGGAGAGAGGCUCGGUGAAAUAGACUUGUCUGUGAAGAUGCGGACUACCUGCACCAGGACAGAAAGACCCUAUGAAGCUUUACUGUAACUUGAAAUUGGAAUUGGACUUUGCUUGCGCAGUAUAGGUGGGAAGCGUUGAAAAUAUUCUUGCGGGAGUAUUGGAGCUAUCAGUGAGAUACCACUCUUGUAAUGUUAGAUUUCUAACUUUGAACCAUAAUCUGGUCAAAGAACAGUUUCAGGUGGGCAGUUUGACUGGGGCGGUCGCCUCCCAAAUGGUAACGGAGGCGUACAAAGGUUUCCUCUGAACGGAUAGAAAUCGUAUCUAGAGUGUAAAGGCAUAAGGAAGCUUGACUGUGAGACCUACAAGUCGAGCAGGGACGAAAGUCGGUCUUAGUGAUCUGACGGUACUGAGUGGAAAGGCCGUCACUCAACGGAUAAAAGUUACUCUAGGAUAACAGGCUGAUCUCCCCCAAGAGUUCACAUCGACGGGGAGGUUUGGCACCUCGAUGUCGGCUCAUCGCAUCCUGGGGCGGUAGUACGUCCCAAGGGUUGGGCUGUUCGCCCAUGAAAGCGGUACGCGAGCUGGGUUCAGAACGUCGUGAGACAGUUCGGUCCAUAUCCGGUGUAGGCGCUAGAAUAUUGAGAGGAGCCUUCUUUAGUACGAGAGGACCGAGAAGGACACACCGCUGGUGUACCAGUUAUCGUGCCAACGGUAAACGCUGGGUAGCUAUGUGUGGAGUGGAUAACCGCUGAAAGCAUCUAAGUGGGAAGCCCACCUCGAGAUGAGUAUUC
rnacentral:rRNA from 1 species